rnacentral:rRNA from 1 species
AGAUUAAGUUAUUAAGGGCGCACGGUGGAUGCCUUGGCACUAGAAGCCGAUGAAGGACGUUACUAACGACGAUAUGCUUUGGGGAGCUGUAAGUAAGCUUUGAUCCAGAGAUUUCCGAAUGGGGAAACCCAGCAUGAGUUAUGUCAUGUUAUCGAUAUGUGAAUACAUAGCAUAUCAGAAGGCACACCCGGAGAACUGAAACAUCUUAGUACCCGGAGGAAGAGAAAGAAAAUUCGAUUCCCUUAGUAGCGGCGAGCGAAACGGGAAGAGCCCAAACCAACAAGCUUGCUUGUUGGGGUUGUAGGACACUCUAUACGGAGUUACAAAGGACGACAUUAGACGAAUCAUCUGG